rnacentral:lncRNA from 1 species
AUCCAUAGCUCUGUCUAUGAAUUUGAGAGUGGUUACAUUUCUCUAGCACCAUCCCUCAGCUUUCUACCGAAACAGUGACUGGGAAUGGCUUUGUUAUUGUUUCAACUGCUGAUUGACGCUUUAAAGGGGGUUCAGACAAUGGGCCUGAUUCACAAACAGAAAAGAAACGUAGAAAAACGUUUUAACAUAUUUUUUUAUCAUUGACUUUCUAAACUUUUCAGAAUGCUAAGGAAAUGCUACCUGUCUAUCAAGAAACAUUGUCAUUCUAUGACUCCUAUCCAAAGGUUGAUGAAAUCAAUGUGUAUGGGUUUUUGUGCUACGUUUUCUCACAGUGUGGGUUGGGAGGCCACAGUGACUGAAUAUUCAUGUCACGUUGUACAAAAACCCUCAACAUAAUUUCUAUGUUCAGAACCUUAAAAGUAAACAAGGCAACCUGACUCUACUGGGCAAACAAAUUGCGCUACAGUUUUGGUUGCCUUCUUGACUCUGCAAUUAGUCCCAAACUGUACUUGGAAGUGACAUAACGCUGUAAUUAUACAAACCAGAUGUAAGAGGUUUUUGUACGGACAUGUUCCACAGUGCAUAUAAACUGACAUUUGGAAAAGCCAUCAAUCUCAUUGUUGAACCCAAUGGAACUCCUGUCCGCCCAACACUGUCCAUCCUCACCCCACUACACAAGAUAGAGAAUGAUGACCAGCCUGAGGUGUGCCUGGCUACAGGCUUCUUUCCUAGGAUUGAAAACAUGAAUCUCACCCUGGGGAAUAAUGUUACUGUCCCACGCAAAACAACCAAGGCAGCUUUAUCUUCCACACGUACCUACUUCUUUGCCGGAUUCUCCAAAGAGAAUAUCAAGCGUUGUGAGAUGGAUGGCGUCGUCAAGAAGCGCGUUGAUGAUGGUGGUUUUCCAGAUGUGUCUAACGAUAAGACCACGGCUACAACUGCUUCUGACAAUUGCGAACAUGAACGCCUCAACAAUGCUACUGCCACCAACUAUACCGAUUAUACCAAGAUGAACUUCACAUCCUUGGUUGUGUAUGGUUUGAGAGUGCUGUUUGCCAAAGCCGUGGCAUUUAAUGUGCUAUUUACUGUCAAGGCCCUGGUGUUCUAG